rnacentral:ncRNA from 1 species
GAGAGGAACCGCAGGUUCGGACACUUGGUUCAUGUGCUUGGUCGAGAGACCAGUGGUGCGAAGCUACCAUCCGUGGGAUUACGACUGAACGCCUCUAAGUCAGAAUCCCGUCUAAGCAGUGCAAUGAUAUCGUGCGCACUUGCAGCGUUUACAGGUGACGUUAGAGUUUCUCGGGUCGAUCGCGGCGGGCCGCCGCGAUUCCCGGCUCGACGACGCCACGUGGACGUGGGGGCAUUAGUCGUUCGCCGAGGUAACGGUGCGAGCGACGCUCCCAUGCACUCGUUUUUGGUGUGAACCGCUGUGGUGUCAAAUCGUCUGUAGACGACUUAGGUACCUGUCGUGGUGUCGUAAUUAGUAGAGCAGCCACCACACUGCGAUCUAUUUAGGCUUAGCCAUUGACCGGGAGGUUUGU